UUAUAGGGGGUCUACUGUAUUUGAAUUACUAUCGCUGAUCUUAACAUUUACAGACUAGAAAUGUUUCUGAUCAUUGGCCAAUUGAAGUUCAAUUAAGAGGAAGGAUUUCUGACGAUGCUGAAAUUAAUUUGAAACCAUCGAUGUGUUUCAUGAUUACUGACAAUAGAAAAAUUUCAGAUCCAAUGAUUAUUCAUAGAGCAAGAAAGAAAUUUGAUUUUAGAACGAAUGCUUCUAAAGAUCAAAAUGGCAAUUACGUUACUUUUAGCGCUAUUAAGAAAUCUGAUAAUUUAAAUGAUUUAUUAGAAUCGUUUCAGUUUCUUUCUCAAAGAUUUCCUGACGUUCUUAGUCAAGAAAUGUGGCAAAGUGUUCAAUAUAAAGCAGAAAAUGGUGGUCUUAGUGAUGAAAGUUCUUUCAAUGAUCCCAGCUUAUUAUCGUACUCGAUAACCAUCUAUUGUGAUGUUCAACAAUUAAUAUGUUCAACUUUGACUUGUCGUCAAACGACAAUUAAUUAAGAAAUAAAUAUUUAAAAUAUU